CUUGGCCUGGAGAAAGAGCAGGAGAUAGAAGAAGAAAAAUGUAACCAGAGGGACCUCUCAUGUAGCUGCCUGGCACCUCUGACUACAACGAGCAAGAAAGCCAAGAAUUCUAUUUCUGCACCAGUGAGCCACCAGCAGGGCCGCAGGAAGUAUCCAUUGGAGAUGCAGGGGAAGCCAUCUUCCUGCCUUGACUGCCUUCGCCACUAGGGGUCAGCAUUGCACAAGGCAGCUGCCCUGCUCUGGGUGGCUGCGCCUUGAAGCAGGAGUUUGCAAGCGAUCUGGUCAGUGCAGCAUACAAAUGUGCAGAGCUAGCUGUUUGUUUCCCUUACAUCCUCCUCAGAGCUCUGCAGGGCAUACGCAGGGAUGGAGGCCCCGGAGGUCAAGCAUCCAACCGAGGUCUGUAAGUGCACUGUUAGCUGGUAUUGGUACCCUGCUGGAUAACAUCCCACUACUAAAGAGCCACACAGGGGAGGGGGACUAAGAUAGCUCACUGGGUAAAGAUGCUUGCUGUCAAGCCUGGUGACCUGAGUUCAGUCCCAGGACCCACGUGGUGCAAAGAGAGAACCAAUCAACUCCCACAAGUUAGCCUCUGGUCAACACACGCACUGCACACACACAUAUAGUUAAAGCAAAGAGUCAACAGGAGUCACCAUACAACUUCUAAAGGCCACUGUCACACUGGGUCCAGGGGGUUUUCAAAGGCCUUUUUAUCUCUGUGUGUUUUGGCUAUACCUAGCUACGUCAUGGGGAAGGAGGGGGUGAAAUGAAGACCAGCCCCACCCCCAUCCUAGUAACUAAAAUGGCACAGGGAUGGCUCAGGUCUCACUGGCAGGCAAGGCUGAGGUCUGGGGCUCCUCUGUCAGAUUCCCAGACCCUCUCUGAUCCCCAUACAUGUACCAAGAUACGUCUUGAAACACGUUUGAAUAUCUUUCAGUGAUUUUUUUAGGCAAGUAAAAACCAACAGUCAAAUCCGUCUAUUUUUUACUUGAUGACCUAAGAAAGAUGAUUUUGCUCUAGAUACAUUUGGACCAAAAGGCUUUAACUAUCCCAUGUAAAUAAGUAGCUAGAUACACACGUAGGUAUGUGGUACAUACAUAUGCAUAGAUGUAUAUGUGCACAGAUAGGUAGAUACUGUCAUUUGUAAUCCUAGACUGAGAUGCUAAUAUUCCUAGAUACCUUCCCAAAAAGAUUAUCGUUAUUUUGAACCAAAAUGUGCCUUCCCAUUGCCCCACGUUUUUAGCAGUCUCUUGGGAUGUGUGGUCAAGGGAGGCCUCCCUGGAUCCCUGUGCCCCCUGGGCUUGAGGAAGCCCCCAACUCACGAGUGUCAUGAAGCCCGCUGCCCUCCCUUAGCCUCAAAACUACCACCUUCUCCCUCAGGAGCUCUGGGUGGUCCAGGUUGCUCCUCGGUGGCCAGCGCACGCUCACCAUGGCUAGCUCGGCCUCCAGCUCCUUCAUGCGGUUGUCCUUGAGGUCCAGCUGGGAGCGCAGGGCCGCAGCAUGGUCCGUGGCCUCCUUGGCCUGCCGUCGGAGCUCCCACUUCUCUCGCUCCAGCAGGUCUUUCUCCUUGGCCAGCGCUUUGACAGCAUCCUCACUCUCCUGUGGUGGGGAUGAGAGAGAGGGGGUGGGUUGUAAGGUGGCAUGGGAGUGGAGGGUUCAGCUGGGAGGGCAGGGGAUUGGGGAACCCCCCAACACAUGGCUGAAAGCCCUGGUGUGAGGUGGGAAGGCUAUGGGGUGGGCACCUUGGAUGACCGCCCCCCCCACCCAGAGAGCACUUCCCAGUGAUAGAGCCUGGGUAAGGCGUGACUCUAUACAGAAAAUGGGGGCACGGUGAAAUAUGUACGACUCUUUUCAAAGCUAGAACAACCCCAUGUGCAGACGACAAAGUGGAAUCUGAUGAAAGUUGGGGUGGAGGAGAGUUUUAUUUAAUUUUAUCUAUCUAUCUAUCCAUCUAUCUAUCUAUCUAUCUAUCUAUCUAUCUACCUACUUACCUACCUACCAACUACCUACUAUCUGCUUGUUUGACUGGUUGCUUGGUUUGCGGUGCUUUGAGUCAGGGCCCCUCUGUAGCUCAGGUUUGCCACCAACUCUCUAUGUAGCCAAGGACAAUUUUAAACUCCUGAUUCCCCCGCCUCCAAUUCCCAAGUGCUGGCCCAGUUUCUGCAAUGUAGUGCUGGGGACAGAACCCAGGUCCUCGCAUCUGCCAGGCAACCACUCUGCCAACUCCAUAAUCCCAGUUCUUGCUUGAGGAACUGUAUCACGAGCAAAAUGGGUUCAGGAAGGCACCUGAAGCGGCGGCCGUCUGGGCUACCACAGGAGCCUGCUGACACCCUCCAAGGCCACAGCUGAUGGGAGACUCAGUAGCCUGUCCUUUCAUGUCCCAUGAGGAAGAAAGCUCCUCCUGCCACUUGCCCAGGCCCCUCUCAGUUUCCUGAAUAAACCAUGGCUUCCAAGGGUGGUGCCAGCCAGGUGUAGGGCAGGCCCCAGAAGGAGCUGUGGCUGA